CGAAACAAACAGAACUAAAUAUAAACAAAAGAUUCUGGGCAAAAUUUGCGAUAAUUUAAAUACUGCUGUGGUGUUGUAGAAAUGAGAUACAAACAAAAUUAAAUUUAACUGCCCAAUAAGUGAUAAAUAAUCAUAGAUAAUAAGUUCAUGCUUGAAGACAAAAUAUACAGACAUUGUGAAAUAACUGCCUCAUAAUUUUAGUACAAAAAUAAACCGCAUACACAAGAGAAUAAGUUUAUUAAACUUAAGUAAAUAUCGAAAUGGAUAAGAAAAUUAUUUUAUGUAAAAUAGCAGUGGAGGACAACAGCGCAACUCAGCAGUCAAUAGAGAACUAUAUGACUACAUCGAAUAGUUUUGAAUGGGAUGGCAAAAAAUGGACUAAGUUGUUUCCAUUUCCAACGGACUUGCUUGCAAAACUAAAUACAAAUGUGCAUCAUGUAAUAACAAUUGAUAAAUGUAUUGAUAAAAUUAAGGCGGAAAACUUCCUUGCUGUUACUUAUAAUAUUAAUAGAGCUGUGCCUUCAUUAGAAGACCAGUACAUUAUGUCAAAUAUAUUUAAAAAUUAUAAAACGCCCAUAGGACAGCCAAAAGACAUAGAAAGUUUUAACGAAGAAAAUGAUGCCGCAGGUUCUAAAAGUAAUUUGAUACAAGAAUAUGUCACUACGGCGCUUUAUGAUACUUUAUUUCAAAAACAUUUUGAAUUAAGUAGCGGUAAAAACCAAAAACUGCCAAUUCUACCAGAUUGCUUUCGGUCCACACUAUGCGAUUACCAGGCUCGUACAGUUCAUUGGCUAUUAGAACGGGAAAAGAAUAUCACAAUUUUUCCAAACUACUAUACCCAAUUGCAGGCACGCGACGGCGAAACGACGGUAUAUAAGCAUUUAUUAAGUUGGCGUAUUCAAGAGUCUGAACCAGCACCAAUUAAGAUACCAGCUGGUGGCAUACUUGCAGAUGAAAUGGGUUUGGGAAAAACGGUAGAGAUGUUAGCACUAUUAGUAUUACAUCAACGCCAAUUAUCAGAUCCUACACUAUUAGAGAACUUAUACAAUUAUGAGCCGGAGAAAAAACGUAAACGCCGUUCUACAAAAUUAUUUUGUAUAUGCACAAGGAAAACAAUGACUGAAUUACGUACAUGUAAACGAUGUAAAUUUCAACAACAUGCGAAAUGUGUCAGUGGUUUCGAUGUUAACGCCAACAAUGAUUUAUAUUUAUGUCCUAACUGUUGGUACAUAACAACGCAAAGCACGUUGCUAAAAGCUGCAACCACAUUCAUUGUGACACCUCAUACAAUAAAAGCGCAAUGGAUUUCUGAAAUAAAUAGGCAUGUUACCCCAGCUCUUAAAGUUUUCGAUUACAAUGAACUAGUGGCAGCCAAUUGGAUUAGUCCAAAAGAGUUGGCAACCUACGAUGUGGUACUAACCGAUUACUAUUUGUUGCGCCGUGAGAUAUAUCACACCAGCGCCUAUGUUUCCGAUCGUGUAACACGAAAUGAAAAACGCUCAAUGCGUCGCUUGUCACCAUUACUUAUGGUCGAAUGGUGGCGGGUAUGCCUUGAUGAAGCACAAAUGGUGGAAUCAAAUUCUACGAAUGUGGCAGCUAUGGUAAAACAACUGCCAGCUAUAAACCGCUGGGCCAUUACUGGCACUCCCAUACAACGCAGCAUUGAUGAUUUGUGUGGUUUAUUGGAAUUCAUCGGUUUCACCGAACCCUUAACACCGCCGACUGGUUGGAAAGCAUUGGUAGAUGAUUUCGUUAUGCAUCAGAAUGCUGUAAAUGGUCAUGAUAAAGCAGAAUUGACACUUGUUGAUGUUUUGCAACGUUGCAUGUGGCGCACAUGUAAAUCUAAGGUCGAUGCAGAACUUAAAAUUCCACCCCAAUCUGAGGAGGUCCAUCGCAUAAGGUUGAGCAAUUUGGAGAAAUUAUUUUAUACUGAACAGCACGCGCUAUGUGAGAGUAGUUUCCAGCAUGUACUUCGAAAGCAUUUGGGCAAUGCUGAAGGCAUAUUAAAGAUAUCGCCGAUAAUAAUGAAAAUUAUUCUAAAGCCCUUGUUGAAGAUACGUCAAUCAUGUAUCAUACCAGUUGUAAACACGGGCAGUGGGCAACACAAAGGCACGUCAAACGUGCCACAGAAACAAUUUCUACAGCCAAAGGACCUUCAUGCGCAUCUCAAAUACACAAAUGAGUUUGAGUGUAAAUCCGAAUUGCGCACAAUGGCUUCGUCAUACAACGGCAUGGCCGCAAUCUAUUUUAUAAGAGGAAAUUAUGAACAAUCAAUUAAACACUAUGAAAUGGUGUUGCGUUUAGCGCGCGAUUACAAAGACAUCAAUAUUUCUGUAGACAGUUUGCUGCAAAUUCACGCAUUGCAUAAUCUACAGCAAGCUUGUUACAUCUCAUCUGCCAAAGUCAAGCAUUUGUCCGCCGACGUGCUGUCCAAAUAUGAGGAGGAUUGCAACGCCUUAGAGUGGAAAUAUCUGGAACCGUAUGCUAAUACAAUGACAACGAUGCGUACGACUUGCAGCAAUGCAGAAAACACGCUUCAACAGUUGGAGACGAACCUUGAUGUACCACUAUUAGAAUUUACUAAUAUGCUAGCCGAAAAAAUUAGCGAAGUUAACGAUGCGUUUGCAAUCGCGUUGUUGAAUCGGUUUCGCGAUGAAUUUGCAACCGCUUUUGGUGGCAGCCCGAAAUUAGAACAAUUACAAAGCAUAUCGGGUAUGUUGUACAUACUAGUAAUGUGGUAUCAAAAAGUGGAGGCCGCACGAACGCAUUUAAAUGAGGAGUUUGAAAAUUUAAAAUUUUACACAAUGAACGUAACCGUGCGCUCGAAAAAUACACCAGCCAUUUGGCGAGAUAUGACUAAAUUUAUACGCAGCGUCUAUGACUGUCAUCUCAAUGAUAUACUUGACGAUAAAAAGGAUCGUGAAAAGAACAAAGCGAAGUUAAAGUCGAAGAAGUCGAAACUUAAUCUGUGUAAACUUUGCCAAAUUCGCAACGCUCUUAAUGAUUACGAAUGCCUAUUAUUCAAUAAGGUCGUUGAUGAAGACACUAACAUGACGGAGGGUUUGGAAAAUCCCUCUUUUGAAGUAGCGCUGAUUAAAGUAUUAUUUGGCUUUUUGCGCACGAAAGGUUCUUUCAUAAGUUUCUCGCAACAAAUGGACAGACAUUGGGAAGCCAUUGAAUGUCGUCAGCAGCUUUGUAAGAAGCUCAUCAAAUACUGGAUCGAAAUUGAAUACACAGUAAAGGCUUACGAUGAAUUGGAUAUGUGUAAAAUGCGAAUUUCUCUGGCAGAAAAUGAGGAGGAGAAGACACAUUUCAAAUUGCUUGAUUACGAGCUGGACGACACUUUUUUAGAGCAGCAAAUGAACCUGUACAAUGCACAGCGACACUUUGCUAUGAAGCUUGCGCGUCUUAAGUACAUAACACAUUUGGAAGCUGAUGCUGACACUGGACCAUGCCCUAUUUGUCAAUCAGAAGAUGAAAGUCGGUACGCUGUAUUGGAGUGCGGGCACAAUAUAUGUCUCCUUUGUUUACGAACAAUACGUCAAUAUAAUACGCAUCAGAAGCUAUGCUGUCCGAUUUGCCGCAAUCAACAAAAUUCAGAAAAGAUUUAUUACGUCACACGCACGUCCACAAGCUCUGCGGAAACAAAUAUACAAGUCAUCGGCGACUAUUCGUCCAAAAUCACCUAUAUUGUGCGCUUGAUUUUAAAACUACAACGAGAUCACUCGAAAGACGUACAGCCUUUAAAAAUUUUAGUAUUCUCACAAUGGGCCGAAAUUUUGCAUGCAAUCGCAAUGGCUUUAACACAAAAUGGCAUACGUCACCGGUUUAACUUGACGCCGCGCACAAUUGAGGAAUUUAAGAACCCACAAUUGGGCGUCACUUGUUUGCUGAUGCCUUUGCACAGAGGAUGCAAUGGCUUAAACCUAAUAGAGGCUACACAUGUUUUUCUUGUCGAACCCAUACUAAAUCCCGGCGAGGAAGCGCAGGCCAUUGGACGCGUGCAUCGUUUCGGACAGACUAGAUCAACAACGGUACACCGUUUUAUUGUUUGCAAUACGAUUGAGGAGAAUAUAUUCAAUGUAGUGAAUGCUGGCAAACAAACGCAAGCGAAUUGGGAAUUCAAGCAAAUGUCAGUGGAGAGCUUACGGAAUCUGUUUCAUUUAGAAAAUGAUGUUAGCGAGGAGUAUAUACCAAAUGCAAGGGACCCAAUAGAUGUCACCUAAAUAUAAAGAACAUUCCAUUGACGACCGGCAGUUUGACAUUACAAAUUUGUACGAUUCAACAAUACCUCUUCAAAUAUUUAACUUCAAAAAUUCGUUUUCGAAAAAGGCCACUCGGAAUUUAGUCUUAAAUCAACUUUUAAGUUGCGUUUGGCUAUAAAAUUCAAAUCUUGCCUACAUAUACAUGUCAAAACAUCCCAUUAGAUAUACGAUUUCAAUUUCUAGAUGUACGAAAUCUCCUACAGAAAAAAUAGUAAAGUUCGCUGCAAGCCUGCCUGGUGUAUACACAAAUAUUUUAAUUAACUGCCUCAUACAGUUAUUCAGUAUUUCUUUUAGAAACUUCUCAUAACGGACACCUCCCUUGGGCGGACAUUUUUUCAUGCACCAAGUUUUAAGUACAAUUUUCAGAACAAAUCGCCCUCCCUUAGGCGCACACUGUCUUGGCCGGACGCGGACAGUUCAUUGCUACAAAGUUGGACGAAACCCCUCUACUAAGCGGACACGAUGCUCUUAUCGACGGACAUUGACUUCUGUUUUCAUAACAAAUCAAUCAGAAACCUCUCUUGGGCGGACGGGAACCCCUCGUAAGCGGACAAAAUAUGAGAAUGUGUGUAUGGCGUAUGUAUAAAUAACAGAUUAUAACAAAUGAAAAAAGGGGACUCCCCGAAUUCAAUGUAAUUAGGCUGUUCACGAUAAGGUGGUUAUCGGGUUAUGUGGUUAUGUGAUUAAGUGAACAACAACAAAAUGCGGUAUGACAAAAUAACCAAAGUUGACC
rnacentral:misc_RNA from 1 species